rnacentral:lncRNA from 1 species
AUGCUUUAUUAUACGUAUUGUAUUCUAUUUGAGCCAAGGGAAAGGAGAACCCCACUCAAGUGAGAUAACAAACUUGCUGUCUUUUACAAAAUUUAAUCAGAACUGACAAUGUUAUGGUUAGUUCUUAAUUCCUGAGAAUUUGAACAUCAUUAAGUUUUCUGUGAAUUUACAACAAAACACUCAUGUUAAUAUUUAAAUUACAAUAUUUCUGAAAAAAUAUUGUUAGCAAAAGAAAACCAUCAUCCAACGUAUACAGUAACCCAGGUGUGAACAUACUGAAGCCCUGUUGCUCAGCAGUUUAAUACCAUUUAAAUAUUUCUCUCAUCAGAGACUUUAUUUCAAAUACAUGAACUUAUUAUAAUUUAUCCAGACUACAGUGACAUUAUUUUUAACUAAAGUUAAAACAGUUACCUGUCACUUCCCAUUUUAAGUGUCCAAGGAAUAUGUGAACUCUCA